UACGGAGGGUGCGAGCGUUGUCCGGAAUCACUGGGCGUAAAGGGCGCGUAGGCGGCCUGAUAAGUAGGGGGUGAAAUCCUGCGGCUUAACCGCAGGGCUGCCUUCUAAACUGUCAGGCUGGAGCACAGUAGAGGCAGGUGGAAUUCCCGGUGUAGCGGUGGAAUGCGUAGAGAUGCGGCGGAACACCGAUGGCGAAGGCAGCCCCCUGGGCUUAAAUUGACGCUGAGGCACGAAAGCGUGGGGAGCAAACAGG
rnacentral:rRNA from 1 species